UACUCCCUUCAUCACAAUCGCACGCAAGUGUAGAUAGGGAAACCCCUCGUGCUUACCUAAAAAAAAGGGGGUGUUAUGUGUAAUGAGCAUAUCGAAUAAGGGAUGGGCAAGACUGGGGCCAGCAGCCGCGGUAAUACCAGCGUCACAAGUGGAGAUCACUAUUAUUGGGUCUAAAGAGUUCGUAGCUGGUUUGAUAAGUCUCUUGUGAAAUUUUUUUGGCUUAACCAAAAAAUUGCAAGAGAUACUGUCUGACUAGAGACCGGGAGAGGUAAGAAGUAUUGUUUGGGUAGCGGUAAAAUGUUAUAGUCCUUACAAGACUAACUAAGGCGAAGGCAUCUUACUAGAACGGAUCUGACAGUGAGGAACGAAAGCUAGGGUAGCGAACCGGAUUAGAUACCCGGGUAGUCCUAGCCGUAAACGCUGGGGGUUACCCUUUGCUAAAUCUACGAGAUUUAGCAGGGGGGAAGCGAAGGCGAUAAACCCCCCCCCUGGGAAGUACAGCCCCAAGGCCGAAACUUAAAGGAAUUGGGGGGGGAAAGGGCGAAUUCUUUUAAACCUGCGGGACUAGUCCCUUUAGUGAGGGUUAAUUCUGAGCUUGGCGUAAUCAUGGUCAUAGUUUUUUUCUGAG
rnacentral:rRNA from 1 species